GGCAGAGGCCUGGAGACACCACAAGAACACUAAGACCACACAUGUGUGCUGCUAUGCCUGACCCCAUGUGGGUUCUGGGCCUUGAACCCAACUGAGUUAUCUCCCCAGCCUGCCUUGCUGUGUCA